UACGGAGGGUGCGAGCGUUGUCCGGAAUCACUGGGCGUAAAGGGCGCGUAGGCGGCUUCUUAAGCGUGUGGUGAAAGCUCAGGGCUCAACUCUGAGUCGGCCAUGCGAACUGGGAGGCUUGAGCACUGGUAGAGGCAGGUGGAAUUCCGGGUGUAGCGGUGGAAUGCGUAGAGAUCCGGAAGAACACCGGUGGCGAAGGCGGCCCGCUGGGCAACUGCUGACACUGAUGCGCGACAGCGUGGGGAGCAAACAGG
rnacentral:rRNA from 1 species